UACGGAGGGGCAAGCGUUGUUCGGAAUUACUGGGCGUAAGGGCGCGCAGGCGGCUGCUCAAGUCAGGCGUGAAAGGCCUGGGCUCAACCCGGGAAUUGCGCUUGAGACUGGGCUGGCUUGAGUGCGGGAGAGGGAUGGUGGGAAUUCCCAGGUGUAGAGGUGAAAUUCGUAGAUAUUGGGAAGAACACCGGUGGCGAAGGCGGCCAUCUGGCCGCAACUGACGGCUGAGGCGGCGAAAGCGUGGGGAGCAACAGGG
rnacentral:rRNA from 1 species